UACAGGGGGGGCAAGCGUUGUUCGGAAUUACUGGGCGUAAAGGGUUCGUAGGUGGCCAAUUAAGUCAGACGUGAAAUCCCUCAGCUUAACUGGGGAACUGCGUCUGAUACUGGUUGGCUUGAGUGCAGGAGAGGAAUGCGGAAUUCCAGGUGUAGCGGUGAAAUGCGUAGAUAUCUGGAGGAACACCGGUGGCGAAGGCGGCAUUCUGGACUGUAACUGACACUGAGAAACGAAAGCCAGGGGAGCAAACGGG
rnacentral:rRNA from 1 species